ACUCCUGAGCCUCCACCAUUGCUGUGAAAACAUGCCUGGGAGAGCCUGCUGGAAGACAGUACCCAGAGCAGCGCCCCAGUCUCUCCAGUUGACUAGCCAGGACCAGCCUAGAUCUUCUGACAACUGGAUGACCUUCAGAUAUCAUAAGAAAACAGCCGAAGAUUAGAUUUUGAUAAUGAGAGAGCCCAACGAUCCUGGACCCCUGGCCGGGAGGACAAUAGGGGAAACAGGUGAAACACUGUGUGAGCUGGACCACCCAGGCUCUCCAACACCAGGACACCAGAGCAUCCUUCCUCCUUCUUCUCUUCUGCUGCGACUUCCUGGAGGCAUAGCAGAGUUACAACUGCUGGCCAUGUGGAACUUCUCUUCUCCUAUAAGUUUGCUCUGAGAUGGAGAGAUUGUGCCUGUGGUUCAUUAGGAAGAGCUCUUGGGAUCAAUGCCUGUAAUAAGGAAGGGAAGGAAUCAGGAUUGGCCAGAAGGAGAAGUUGAGCUGUGUUGAAGCCUCAAUGGAGACCUCAGCCAAUUCUGAGUCAUGUCCUGAAGCUAGAAUAUGUCCUCUAAAUUAUCCCAAGCUGAGAUGAGGGAGCUGGGCAUUUAGCCCUGUAUUAGGCCAUUCUUGCACUGCUAUAAAGAAAUAACUAUGGCCUGGCGCCGUGGCUCACGUCCUUAAUCCUAGCACUUUGGGAGGCCGAGGCGAGCAGAUCACGAGGUCAGAGUUUGACACCAGCCUGGCCAAUAUGGUGAAACCCCAAUUCUACUAAAAAUACGAAAAUUAGCCAGGCGUGGUGGCACAUGUCUGUAAUCUCAGCUACUCGGGAGGCUGAGGCAGGAGAAUUGCUUGAACCCAGGAAGUGGAGGUUGCAGUGAGCUGAGAUUGUGCCUCUGCACUCCAGCCUAGGGAAUAAAGCGAAAGUCUGUCAAAAAAAAAAAAAAAAAGGAAAGAAGGAAAUAACUGAGACUGGUAAUUUAUAAAGAAGAGGUUUAAUUGGCUCACAGUUCCUCAUGCUAUACAAAAAGCAUGAUGCUGGCAUCUGCUCAGCUUCUUGGGAGGCCUCAGGAAAUGUACAAUCAUGGCAGAAGGUGACGCGGGAGCAGGCAGUUCACAGGGCCGGUGCAGGAGGAGAGAGAGAGGCAGGAGAUGCUACACGCCUUUAAACAACCAGAUCUCCUGAUAACUCACUCUCGUCACAACACCACCAAGGGAGAUGGUGUUAAACCAUGAGAAACCACCUCCACGAUCCAAUCACCUCCCACCAGGCCUCACCUCCAACACUGGGGAUUUAUAAUUCCACGUGAGAUUUGGGUAGAGGACACAGAUCCAAAAUAUAUCAUACCCCCACGUUGAUCAGUCAUUAGAUGUGGGCCACCCUAGUUGAGGCAGCUCCCCUCGCUCAGGUGGUUCCUGAAGCGAGCUGACAGCUGACGGCUGCAUGCCAGAGGUACUGUCAGCAGCUGAAGGAGAGUCUUUUGUGCUAAAAGCCAUCUUAAGCAGCACAGCACAGCGUCCACCACAUAUUGUGGACAGGUGAUAUGGUUUAGAUCUGUAUCCCCACCACAAUUUCAUGCUGAAUUGUAGUCCCCAAUGUUGGAGGUAAGCCCUGGUGGGAGGUGUUCGGGUCGUGGGAGCAGAUCCCUCAUGAAUGGCUUGGGCCAUCCUCUUGGUGAUGAGGGAACACUCACUCUGAGUGUUCACAAGAUCUGGUGGUUUAAACGUGUAUGGCACCUCUCCCCACCCCCACUCUUUCUUGUUCCUGCUUUUGCCAUGGGACUCGCAUGAUCCCUUUGCCUUCUGCCAGGACUAAAAGCUCCCUGGAGCCUCCUCAGAAGCUGAGCGAUGUUGGCGCCAUGCUUCUGGUACAGCCUGCAGAACCAUGAGCCAAUUCAACCUCCUUUCUUUAUAAAUUACCCAGUCUCAGGUAUUUCUUUAUGGCAAUACAAGAACACCAGGGGUUUGCAGGUAACCCGGGCCCCUGUCCUUGAGGACACAGCAGCAAGCCAUUGGUAAAGCAAAACUGUCCAUAAGGAAGGCUGCUCCCAUGCAGUGUUCAUUUGGGCAGCCCAGAAAUCGAGAAAUCCUCGGUCCAUUUCAAGUUUGGGGGAAAACUUAUUUUUAUCAUAUUUGAGAUGAAUAAUAAAAGCAAAUCCAGAA
rnacentral:lncRNA from 1 species